rnacentral:rRNA from 1 species
ACGGGUGAGUAACACGUGGGCAACCUGCCCUUGAGACUGGGAUAACUUCGGGAAACCGGAGCUAAUACCGGAUAAUAUAAGGAACCUCCUGGUUCCUUAUUGAAAGAUGGUUUCGGCUAUCACUUAAGGAUGGGCCCGCGGCGCAUUAGCUAGUUGGUGAGGUAACGGCUCACCAAGGCGACGAUGCGUAGCCGACCUGAGAGGGUGAUCGGCCACACUGGGACUGAGACACGGCCCAGACUCCUACGGGAGGCAGCAGUAGGGAAUCUUCCACAAUGGACGAAAGUCUGAUGGAGCAACGCCGCGUGAGUGAUGAAGGCCUUCGGGUCGUAAAGCUCUGUUGUUAGGGAAGAACAAGUGCGAGAGUAGCUGCUCGCACCUUGACGGUACCUAACCAGAAAGCCACGGCUAACUACGUGCCAGCAGCCGCGGUAAUACGUAGGUGGCAAGCGUUAUCCGGAAUUAUUGGGCGUAAAGCGCGCGCAGGUGGUUUCUUAAGUCUGAUGUGAAAGCCCACGGCUCAACCGUGGAGGGUCAUUGGAAACUGGGGAACUUGAGUGCAGAAGAGGAAAGUGGAAUUCC